CCACCCAGACUACUGCUGGAUGUAUAGACUAUAUAGUUACUGUACAUCCACCCAGACUACUGCUGGAUGUAUAGUUACUUUAAAUCCACCCAGACUACUGCUGGAUGUAUAGACUGUAUUGUUACUGUAAAUCCACCCAGACUACUGCUGGAUGUAUAGACUGUAUAGUUACUGUACAUCCACCCAGACUACUGCUGGAUGUAUAGACUGUAUAGUUACUGUAAAUCCACCCAGACUACUGCUGGAUGUAUAGUUACUGUAAAUCCACCCAGACUACUGCUGGAUGUAUAGACUGUAUUGUUACUGUAAA
rnacentral:lncRNA from 8 species